rnacentral:misc_RNA from 1 species
AAAAAAGACAGAAAACAGAUGCUCCCAACAACAGGGCUAAAACAUCCUCAAUAUUUCUUUUGAGACAGUCAUGCAUAUGUUUAAAAAGAACAAGAUUAUUAUAUGGUUUUGUCCGGUUCUACUGCUGAGCAUGGUGGAUACAUCAGGAAUGGAAUAUGAACAAUUGGAAGAAGACAGAUGUCUUGACCACUGACCACUGUUGAUGUUGG